CCCUCCCUCCCUCCCUCCCUCUCAGCAGCCGGGGGUGCCGCUCCCUCAGCGCGCUGCCCGCCCGCGGCCGCCCCCCGCCAUCUUCGCCUCACGGCGCCAACAUGGCGGCGGCGGCCGGGCCCGGACAGGGGGCGCGGCGGGAGGGGGGGGUGGAGGGGGGUCGGUGCCCCCCCCCUCUCCUUCUUCACCCCCCCCCCCAAUCAGGCGCCGCGGCGCCGCGCGGCAUCAUGGGACUUGUAGGCGGGCGGGCGGGGCCUCCGCCUCAUGGCCCCGCCCCUCUCCUUAGCAACCGUUGCUAGGGCGGGAGAUUGUAAUUAAUCAUAAUCACUAUUUCAUAUACAUACAAAUAAAUUGUUCGAUUUUCCAUCCCAUAUUAACAAAUCGAAGCCUGCACGGCAUUCCUUGGUAAAAACUCCCCAUCACGGCCAGUGGUUUAUUCCUCAUCCCAGCCCCUCAGCGUGCCAUAAAGGCCGUGCCCCGUGAAAAAUGCUUCCCACACGGACAAAAAAAAAUACAAAAUAAAAUCGCGCUCAAUGUGCACAUCUACCCAAGGAAUGAGUGGGCCUCUUGAGAGGGAUAUGUGGAGAUGUGUUCGUUUUCCAGCACUGUAAAAUUGUCCAAGAAAAAAAAAAUCACAAAAAUCAAGUAGACAGAGCUUGUGGCAGAUGCUGUCUGGUUCCUUCAGGGACAGUUCUCAUGUAAAACCACAGGAAAUUAAGACAGAGUUGUUCCCUUUAAUACUAAAAGUUGGAAGCUGUCUUUCCUCUUUAUGACUUCCUACUGAAAGCAACAACGGCAACCCCACUGUCCCCUCCAUCAAAUUUAUCAUUCUUUUCUUCAGGAACAGCUACAGAAUAGCAUGAGGCCGUUGACUGUAAAAGGCAGAUUUGACAGCAAACAUCCCAGCUGAAUGCCCAGGAAAAGAGUUUGGGGGUCAAUAAAAGAGACCUGUGCUAUCACGCUGCAUGACUUUGGGCACGUCAUUCCCCAGGACCUCUGCUUAGAGAAGUUGUUGAGUUGCUGUCUGUGGAGACAGUCCAAACCCAACUGGACGUGGCUGUGGACAACCUGCUGUGGCUGACCCUGUCUGAUGCACCUUCCAAACUCAUCCCUUCUGUCACAGUGUCUUGGUGACUGUCCCCUGACAAAUGUUUUUGUGGUACCAUCCAUAGUCGUCCCCAACUUCAGUCAGUUCUUCAAGCCACCAAUAAGUCUUGUGUUUGUGGCAAUAAUAGCAUAUUGUUGAAACAUUAUUUACAUUUUUCUCCAAUCAGAUAUCCUUGAGGGACAGAGAAAGUGUAAGGGUUCCUCAUUUUUUUCAUAUCUUUUCAUAAGGCGUCGAAAUAAUAAUACUCACAGAUGAGGGUCAAAGGGGUGAGCUCUGGAGGAUGUCUCCCAUCUGACAUAAUAUGCCUCCCUGGGCACAUACGUCUGCCUGGUUAUGGCAGUGACAGAUUGAAGAAUUAUAAAUAGGUCUCGCUGAACAGAGUUUAUACUUAGAACAUUAUCAAUAAAAAUUCCUUAUGGAGUUUUAACUGUGUGCCCAACAGCUUAAGUUUAGGUGGACACCCGAGCUCUGCUGUGAGGCAAUCCUGCAGACCUAGCAGUUGCUCCAAGCAGACCACAGCCCCGUACAGGUGCCUUGAGAUGAUCCCAGGGUGAUUUAGGAGCUGCCCUGCCCAUGCCCACUGAUAGCAGGGGCAAGAGGAUAGGCACAGUGUCUGCUUCUCAGGCAGUACAGCUCCCAGCUGUCUGCUCCUGUAAGCUGAAAUUGGUGGCAACCCAGAGUGAUGUCCUUGUCCCUGCCGUGACAGCUGAGGAGAAGGCAGGGCAGACAGCAGGGGUGAGUAAUCUUGCACAGCUCACAGCUUGAGCUGCCAAAGGUUAUAUGGAAAUACCCUUCGAUCGAGCAGGGAGAGUUAGGGCACCAACAAGCACCGGCAGACUGGAUGAGGGGUCGGCCAGGCAAGGAGGCAGCAGCAGGACACAUCCACUCCAUGGGAGAUGGCUUUUUUGAAUUAUUUAGCCGGAUGAGCUCAUCUGUGGUCCAUAAAGAUAGGCACAUCCAUAGGGCAGAGCCAUAGGACAGAACGCAGAAGACACAGAGCCUAAAUCAGCGUGAUUUCGUGCUUUCUGUUUUCCUACCCCUGGCUUAGCAAUCUGCUAAAAGGAGGAUCAGGACUUCAGACAAAUUUGAAUCCACAAUUAUAAGUGCAGGCCAGAAUGCCUCUACAUUAGGCUCCACACAGUACAAACACAUAACAAAGACAGAGUUUCUGUCCUGAAAGGUUCACAGUACUGUGUUUACUCUACAGUUGACAUUUGUAUCACAUUUGUGUGAUUUUUUUUUUUUUCUCCCAGCUCUCAGCUCUGAUGACACAACACAAACGAACGGAGGACCCAGCACAGCUGGUACGCACUGGAGAUCGUUUAAGGAUGAUUGUGUGUUGGGCAAAUGAAUAAAAAGAAAAGCUGUACAAUGAUCCUCGUAGGAGUAGUGCGGGUCCGUGUACUGCACGUGACAAAAGGGAUGAAUUCCCACCAGACUUGUGGAGGCUGCGAACAGGAGCAUCUUCAGGAGAAGGAGCACGCAGCGAUGACAGAAAUGAAAUUUCUCCCAAGGCAAGAAUAUCCAUGGCUUCUCGUUUCCCUGCAGGUUUUUCAAGCAGCCUGAGAAGGUGAAAGGCUCCCGAGACAAAGGGUUUAAUUCUCCGCAGUUUGGCCAUGGGACAGAUCAGGAUUCCUUCCCUCUCUGGCAGCCACAGAAGCAAGAUACCCAGGGCAGCAAGGAGCACACAGGGCUACUCAGCAGGAUAUUUUUAAUACCUUUGUAUAAACAUGUGGACUUUUUUUUAACUCUUGCCAAGCAAAAUUCACAUUUAACUCGGUGCCUCUGUAAAAAACUCAGAUUUUGUGUUUGCAAAUAUAUUUUUUUUCCUUGCUAAA